rnacentral:rRNA from 1 species
UAAUACAGAGGGUGCAAGCGUUAAUCGGAAUUACUGGGCGUAAAGCGUGCGUAGACGGUCAUGUAAGUCGGGUGUGAAAGCCCCGGGCUCAACCUGGGAAUUGCAUUCGAGACUGCAUGGCUAGGAUGCGGAAGAGGGAAGCGGAAUUUCCGGUGUAGCGGUGAAAUGCGUAGAUAUCGGAAGGAACACCAGUGGCGAAAGCGGCUUCCUGGUCCAGCAUCGACGUUCAGGCACGAAAGCGUGGGGAGCAAACAGGAUUAGAUACCCUGGUAGUCCACGCCAUAAACGAUGAGAACUAGACGUUGAGAGGGUAAGCCUCCCAGUGUCGUAGCUAACGCGCUAAGUUCUCCGCCUGGGGAGUACGGCCGCAAGGUUG